UACGUAGGGUGCAAGCGUUGUCCGGAAUUAUUGGGCGUAAAGGGCUUGUAGGUGGCCAACUAAGUCAGACGUGAAAUCCCUCGGCUUAACCGGGGAACUGCGUCUGAUACUGGAUGGCUUGAGUUCGGGAGAGGGAUGCGGAAUUCCAGGUGUAGCGGUGAAAUGCGUAGAUAUCUGGAGGAACACCGGUGGCGAAGGCGGCAUCCUGGACCGAUACUGACGCUGAGGAGCGAAAGCCAGGGGAGCAAACGGG
rnacentral:rRNA from 1 species